GGAUCGGUGCUUAUUAAACGGCACCGUUUUGGUUUUUUCCCCAACGUUCAGCCCUCACUCAUCCCCUUCCCCCAACACCCCCUGUUCAUGAAUCACUAUCUCUGAACUCAAGCAAAGUUCAAAAUCACCCAGCCAAAACCCUAGGUUCUCCCUGCAACCAUUUUGAGACAGUGUCGCCGCCGUCCGUAUUGUCGGCGCCUCCGCGUCCUCUCUUUUAGCCCAGGCCCUCUCUUGUAGCUCGGCGUCCUCCUUCCCGCUGUCCGCGUCCUCCCUGUCUUCUCUGUUCGAGGUUGGAGUAGCUCACCGCCAUGUCGCCGCCGGUCUCCGUUCGUGUCUCCAUCGAAGUGGAUUACAAGAUUCUUACUCACUUUAAUUCCUCACUUCAGAAAGAUUUUGUUGUCGGCUUUUGAGUGUCCUCAUUGUGGUGAGAGA